rnacentral:rRNA from 1 species
UACAGAGGUCUCAAGCGUUGUUCGGAUUCAUUGGGCGUAAAGGGUGCGUAGGUGGCGGGGUAAGUCGGAUGUGAAAUCUCAGGGCUCAACCCUGAAACUGCAUUCGAUACUGCCUUGCUCGAGGACUGGAGAGGAGAUUGGAAUUCACGGUGUAGCAGUGAAAUGCGUAGAUAUCGUGAGGAAGACCAGUGGCGAAGGCGGAUCUCUGGACAGUUCCUGACACUGAGGCACGAAGGCCAGGGGAGCAAACGGG